AGUCAAGCAGAUCACAGAUCUGCUUGAUCUCGAUUUCUUUGCUUAGAUAUCUAAUUUAAUUCUCUCACCCCUCUGCAAACUGGAUUAAGAAAGUCAAUACUGCCU